AUUGAACGCUGGCGGCAGGCUUAACACAUGCAAGUCGAGCGAGCGGCGGACGGGUGAGUAAUGUCUGGGAAACUGCCUGAUGGAGGGGGAUAACUACUGGAACCGGUAGCUAAUACCGCAUACCAUCAGAUGGGCCCAGAUGGGAUGAGCUAGUAGGUGGGGUAAUGGCUCACCGAGGCGACGAUCCCUAGCUGGUCUGAGAGGAUGACCAGCCACACUGGGACUGGGACACGGUCCAGACUCCUACGGGAGGCAGCAGUGGGGAAGAUUGCACAAUGGGCGCAAGCCUGAUGCAGCCAUGCCGCGUGUAUGAAGAAGGCCUGAGGUUUGUAAAGUACUUUCAGUCGGGAGGCGUUACCGACAGAAGAAGCACCGGCUAACUCCGUGCCAGCCGCCGCGGUAAUAC
rnacentral:rRNA from 1 species